rnacentral:lncRNA from 1 species
CACUUAAGACCGGUAAACUGGGGGCUGGUGGGAUGGCUCAGCAGGUAAAAGCUCUUGCCACCAAGCCCAAGGAUCCAAUCCCAAGGACCCAAAUGACAGAGAGGGAACUGACUCUCACAUGUUACCCUCUGUCCUCCAUUCUCUCACAGAGCCAUGCAUGUGUCUACACCCCUGCCAAAUAACUAAAUAAAAUGGGUGGGGCUUCCUACUAUGCAGGAAGAACUCCUCAAGAAAGGUAGUUUUAAGGAAAUUUAAAAAUGAUCCUUAAAGGUAGAUUAAAUAUUUAAUAUUGACUCAUAAAUGGAUGCAGUAGAUAACUGUUAAAUGAGUGAAGAUUAUUCCCUUUCUCAUAAUGUUUUGCAUAACUGGCGUUAUCUUUUUUUUUUUCCGGAAGUGGUACAGGACUCUCUCCAAUGGCACAUGCAAACCUGAGUUCAUCUGUAGGGGAAGAUGCUUUCAAGAUAACUCGGGGAAAGGAAGAGCCAUCACAUGGACAGG